rnacentral:lncRNA from 1 species
AGGAGGAUUUGGGAGCUUCUUGAUAACAUUGUGAUGGCACCUGCGAGUGCUGAUAACAUCGUGAUGGCACCUUGUAGACUUCUGCAGCCUGUGUCUGGUGUUUGGGGGCUUUUCUGUAGCGUUUGGGGCCUGCAUUUUGGCUUUGGGAUGUGUCUUGAGCUUCUGGGGCCUACCUGUAGUGCUUGGGGCCUGCGUCUGACAACCAGAAUCCUUAGAGCAAUUGGGUGGAAAUCACGGUUGAAACACCGGAUAGAUUGUGAACCUGGAUUACCGAGUCAAUGGGGAAACUGGGGAGGGUCCUGGUCACUGAGAGGAAAAAAAAAAUUUAUAUAAACUGUGUUAUGGAACUAGUAGGUGGCUUGUGGGAUGCCUGCCAUUGCAAUCGUGAAUAAAAAUGCUACCUCGGUGAGAUCCUUGCCUGAG